rnacentral:sRNA from 1 species
AUUCUUGGUCAUUUUAGAGGAAGUAAAAGUCGUAACAAGGUUUCCGUAGGUGAACCUGCGGAAGGAUCAUUAUCGAAUGAAAUCAGAGUCGGUUGUCGCUGGCCUCUUCACUGGACCGUGUACAAGUCUCCUGAAUUCAUCCACACACACCUGUGCACUUGUGAGACGGAUUAACCCUCUCGGGGGGACGGUCCGUCUAUCAUACAUAAACUCCAAUAUAUAAAUUUGAAUGUAAUUUGAUGUAACGCAUCUUUAAACUAAGUUUCAACAACGGAUCUCUUGGCUCUCGCAUCGAUGAAGAACGCAGCGAAAUGCGAUAAGUAAUGUGAAUUGCAGAAUUCAGUGAAUCAUCGAAUCUUUGAACGCACCUUGCGCUCCUUGGUAUUCCUCGGAGCAUGCCUGUUUGAGUAUCAUGAAAUUCUCAAAAUAAAUCUUUUGUUAAUUCAAUUGGUUUCAUUUUGGACUUGGAGGUCUGCAGAUUCACGUCUGCUCCUCUUAAAUAUAUUAGCUGGAUCCCUGUGAGCUCGGUUCCACUCGGCGUGAUAAGUAUCACUCGCUGAGGACACUGUAAAAAGUGGCCGGGGUUGCUGUAGAACCGCUUCUAAUAGUCUAUUGAAUUAGACAAUCUAUU